rnacentral:lncRNA from 1 species
CCAUUCCAUACCUCUUCUCACUUUGAUUAAAGUUCAGUUCUUCUGUGUGGAACAUGAAUGAGUUCUCUGAAGCUGCAGCUGCUACUCCACUCAUGAAAGGUAACCAUUGUGAUACCAAAGAAGGGUCAUCGACAUCAGUGACAUUUGUGAAAGCAUUUGUUAUUCCAUGCAUGUCUCCAAAGAAAUUCUCGUCCGAAUAGCGUAGGAAACACCAACUAAACCAAACUGUAACAUCCCUAUUCUUAGGACAAUCAUUUGACGCUACUCUUGUAGAGUUAAGGACACAGAUAGAACAAUUGUUAGCAGAUAUGUCUCCUCUACAUAAUAUUGAACCAUAAACCCUGCUGGAGUUUUCUCCUACAGUGGUUUGGUAAAAUCCUUGGUGAUCAACCACAUUUGAAGCAAGAGAAUCCAAUAAGGUAUGGAAUAUGUCUUCAUUGACCGUAUUAUCAGCUUUAUUGCAUAUCGGACCUAUUUCUCUAUUGGUGUCAUCAGCAAGGCCAAAAAAGCCAUUUGGAAAGACCAGAACAAAGAAGCUGAUAACACAUAGCAUAACAAAAUAAAAUGAUUUCAUAGUCUCUUUGGUAUAGCAGAAUAGCAGAAGAGAAGAGGAAGAUCAAAAGCAAUGAGUGUGUCACCCUACGUUACAAAUUUUGAACUUAAAUCAAUUGGUCAAACAGUGACAUUUCUUUUUUAAUUAACACUAUUAUUUUUUAUGUGCAAAGUCAACUCUUGGGUACAAUAUGACUAUGUCUCAGAUUGUUUAGUACAAGUAAGAGAAAUUUUCCAAUCUGUCGUGUUAAAUAAAUUUGGAUCUCACUCCAAAAAGUUAGUUCAGAUGAUAAGGAUCUUCAAGGCCAUUUCACAUUGCUGGCGUUUAGAGAAUGUGCAAUAUAUAUAUAUAUAUAUAUAUAUAUAUAUAUAUAUAUAUAUAUAUGUGUGUGUGUGUGUGUGUGUGUGUGUGUGCGCGCGCGCGCUUGUAAAAUGGACAUCCUCAUCCUUAGAGUUAACUUUAAAAGGUGAGAUUAAACUUCUAAGCCUAUUUAACAUUUUGUUUAAUGUUGAGUUUACUUCUAACUUCUAGGACUUGAUUAUUAAGUAUAACUAAACUUAGGGAAGGCUCAUAUGACCAAAGUUCUGGCUUACUUCUUGAACAAUCUAUGUAAAAUUAUGUGGAGUGGAUAACUUCUUAAACUUGGCAUUAAUAAAGCACCAAAUGAUCGAUGAAGAAAUCAAUAGUCAAAACAACUGAAAAAUAACAAUGCUAUUAUCUGCAGAUAAAAUAUAUAAAUCAAAUCAAAUCAUUUUUUUAUUUGAAAUAAAAUGUUUUGCAUACAUGAUAUAUUUUCCUGUGGGAAAAUAAGCAAGUCAUUCAACUUAAGAAAAGCAGAAAUAUUUGACCAAAAAAGAAAUGUAAGAAAUAUUAUAAAAACAAACAAAAAUUGACUUGGAAUUUUAACAAACGUAACCAUUAAGAUGUGGCAAAAGGAGUUGUCCGGAGGUAUUGUCCGCUAUGGGUUUGUGUGUAAACCCUCUCAUUUUAGUCAUUUAUUAAAAGACGUCUCGUUGAAUUUGAAGAGUAUAUAGUUGUUGUUUAUAAUCUGUCAUUGACCUUAUAUCUCAAACUAUACUGAACCUUUUGGUUUACAGACACAUUUUUAUUUUUAACCCAAUUAGGUCGCAAUGAGAUGUCUUACCAUAAUUCUUUAUUUUGUUAAAUUUAUGGAAAUAACUUAAGAAAAGUUACCGCUCAUGUAAAGUUGACAAUCACCAACUGUGAUAGCUAAUUCGAUUUAGAUAAACUUGUUUAUCGUAGGGUUAAUAAUGAUUAUCUUAAUGGUUACAUUGUAAUUCAUACAUUAUUAGGGGAGAUGAGGCCAUGGAAACUGGAGUUUAGGGUUUUCAAUUUAGGUGAAAAAUUAGUGAUUCAAAGAGAAAGACAAUGUUAUACACGCUGGUAGGGCAAAAACGCUGAGUUUUGGGUCUAUUUAGCAAGUUAAUGGUCGCAUCAUCGUGCUUUAAUUAGAGACUGGCAGAAAGGAUAAUGUUGCAACAUUUCAGAAACUAAUUGAAACUUGCCAAACUUUUUAGCUUGGGAAAACUUAAAACUUAAAACCUUUGGAUGUAUUUGGCCUUUAAAAUAUUUUCAGAAACAUUGUGUUUCCAGCCUCUAACACGUAUAAACAUGAACCAAUGGCCUUCACAUCAGUAAAAAAAUUAACAAACAUCUAAACAAAAGAAUCUUGCUUUUUUUUCAAUUAUCUCAAAAAAUAUUAUGUAAUGCAUUUCCAUAUUUUUACUCUUUCUUCAGUCAUGUGUAAAAUAGCCAACUUCUAUAUAUUUAUGAUAAUUUAAAAACAGCUGCAAAUUAAUUACAAAGAUACAUGUAACAUUCCCAUAUAAUUACAAAGCCACCAAAUCAAGAAAUUAUAAAGUAAUAAAUUAUAAAAUAGACCAUGACAUUUUGCAAUCUCCAUUCCUAAAACCAAAUCCCAUUGACAAAGUAAAAAUAAAUAAAAAAUUGAAACUAGAAUUAGAAAACUAUCAACAAGGCUGCUGAGACCGCAAUCGCUGCUAAGCUUCUGCAAGAAGAAGGCCUCCAUGCAGCUGUACCACAGAGAAAACUUAUAUUAGCUUGGCUUCCUUAUUAGACAUCACAAGGAAAGUAAGUGUAGCCAUAUAAAAAUAUCUUAGAGCUGCUUUUCAACAAGCAUCUACAGUUAGAAAAAAAGUUAAAAUGAUCUUCCAGUAAUUUCAAGUCUUUUAAUAAUAGCUUCUCAUGUAAGUUAACAUCUUAACUUGUAAACCUCCGCGUUUAACUCCUAUAUAAAUACAGAUUUUCCUGUAAAGACAUUCUUAUAAGUUAAAGACACACUCCUCUCUACUUAAAUAAAAGCAAAACGUACAAGUAUCUUGUUCCCCAAGUAAUUAACUUGUCGAAAUGUGAUCCAGAUACAUGUAUUUUUUGCUAAUAUUUAAGUCGAGAGGAGUGCAUAUUUCAGUUGAGGAUAGACAACAUGUGUCCUUGUGAAUCUUAAAUUGAUAGGAUAGACAAUUAUAAUUGAGAAAUAUGUUAUAUUUAAAAAGAACUAACCAAAAGUCAAAGGACUCACCACUUGGAAGAAAGGAUACACUAGCAUAAAACUGAUAGUCAUCAUACCACAUGAAACAAUUGGAUCCAUAAAUUUCCCAUCUUGUAUUAUUUCUAAUUGUUCUGAUGUUAAUCAGCUGAGAAUCCAGACACCUUUUGCAGUCCUUUCUACUAAUAUCUCUUGUGCACUGAGCCAUUCCAUACCUCUUCUCACUUUGAUUGAAGUUCAGUACUUCUGUGUGGAACAUUAAUGAUUUCUCUGAAGCUGUAGCUGCUACUCCACUCAUGAAAGGUAACCCUUGUGAAACCACAGAAGGAUCAUCAAUAUCAUCAAAGUCAUAUGUAAAUGUCAAUUCCUGCAUGUCUCCAAAGAAGCUCUCGUUUGAAUAGCG